GAUGAAGAACGCAGCGAAAUGCGAUACGUAAUGUGAAUUGCAAAUUCAGUGAAUCAUCGAGUCUUUGAACGCACAUUGCGCCCCCUGGUAUUCCGGGGGGCAUGCCUGUCCGACCGUCAUUGCUGCCCUCAAGCACGGCUUGUGUGUUGGGCCCCGUCCUCCGAUCCCGGGGGACGGGCCCGAAAGGCAGCGGCGGCACCGCGUCCGGUCCUCGAGCGUAUGGGGCUUUGUCACCCGCUCUGUAGGCCCGGCCGGCGCUUGCCGAUCAACCCAAAUUUUUAUCCAGGUUGAUCUCGGAUCAGGUAGGGAUACCCGCUGAACUUAAGCAUAUCAAUAAGCGGAGGA
rnacentral:misc_RNA from 1 species